UGGAAAUAGACAGACAGGUAGCUAUAUGUAGAAAAAACAGGUAGAUAGAUAGCCUUAGGUAGAAAAAAAGUAGAAAUAGAUAGACAGCCGUGGGUAGAAAAAUAUAGUUGACAUGCAAACAGGUCGAGUGGAAAUAGACAGACAGUUAGCUAUCGGUAGAAAAGCAGGUAGAUGGACAGCCUUAGGUAGGUAGAAAAAAAGUAGAAAUAGAUAGACAGCCGUGGGUAGAAAAAUAUAGUAGACAUGCAAACAGGUAGAGUGGAAGUAGACAGGCAGGUAGCUAUAGGUAGAAAAAACAGGUAGAUAGACAGCCUUAGGUAGAAAAAAAGUAGAAAUAGACAGCCAUGGGUAGAAAAAUACAGGUAGAAACACAGGUAAAGAGACAGACAGUUAGCAGACACAGAUAGACAGGAGGUUAUAUAGACAGACAGAGACAGACUUACCGAGAAAACUUAAACCCAGACAGACAGUAGGUUGGCAAUCAGACAUAAACCAGCAGACAGAUAUUGCGGCAGACAGACUGAUAAGGCACAAGACUGGCACACACACACACACACACACAUACACACACACACACACACACACAUACACAUACACAUAGAGUUGGUAUGUUUGUCAUCUGGGAACACAAGCCCCACACACAUGUUCAGAAUAAGGGACAGACAGACUCCAAGACAGACACAGACAGACAGACAGAUAGAUAGACCGACAGACAGACAGAUAGAUAGAUAGAUAGACAGACAGACAGACACACAAGCCCUGUAAUGUACGUUAUUUCAAAAACUUUCGUACACAAGUUUCAGAGCUAAGGCAAAAACCAUCAUUCAAACAACAACCAAAGUAUUGCAACAAAAAAAUUUCCUUGAUUAUGGUGCUCAAUUUUGCUCCCUAGAACCUGCGUAGAGAAGAAUGAGGAGAAUGAUAGGCUUAAAAACUGAUAGGCUUAGAAACUUACCCUACAGAGAGAGAGACUGAAGAAACUUAAUUUGAAGCUUAAUUUGCUCUCUUCGGGAAAACUUGGACUGCCCGAAGACCCGACUGGUGGAGUAUUCGAAUAUGAGGCUAAAAAUAAUAGAAAUAAUAAUAGUAAUAAAAAUAGCGAUGAUAGUCAACACUCAAGAUAAGAUUAGGUUAUUUCAACGUGUAAAAGAAGCUAUAAAUAGGAGAAAUAAUAAUAAUAGUAAUAAUAAUAGCAAUAAUAGCCAACACACAAGCUAAUACUAGGCUAUUUGACUAUUUAAAAAAUCUAGAAAUAUAAAUAAUAAUAGCAAUAAUAGCCAACACACAGGCUAAGACUAGGCUAUUUGAAUAUAUAAAAGAAGCUAUAAAUAGGAGAAAUAAUAAUAAUAGUAAUAAUAAUAGCAAUAAUAGCCAACACACAGGCUAAGACUAGGCUAUUUGAAUAUAUAAAAGAACUAUAAAUAGGAGAAAUAAUAAUAAUAGUAAUAAUAAUAGCAAUAAUAGCCAACACACAGGCUAAGACUAGGCUAUUUGAAUAUAUAAAAGAACUAUAAAUAGGAGAAAUAAUAAUAAUAGCAAUAAUAGCCAACACACAGGCUAAGACUAGGCUAUUUGAAUAUAUAAAAGAAGCUAUAAAUAGGAGAAAUAAUAAUAAUAGCAAUAAUAGCCAACACACAAGCUAAGACUAGGCUGUUUGAAUAUGUAAAAGAAGCAAAAAAUAGCAUAGAUAAUAGGAAUAACAACCAAUACAUAAGCCUAUACCAACAUGUGUGUAAAGUGAGAGUCACCUUGUUAUAAUAAAGACAGAUAGAUGGGCAAACAAACAGACAGACAGACAGACAGACAGACAAUCUCCUCCUCUCCUCCUCCUCUGAUGCGGUGAAAGAUGGGGCGAUACAUCCAGCCGGGUGAAAGAAUAUUGUGAAAUAAAUCAGACGGAUCAAAAAUAGAGGUGUACCCAAAGCCCAGGGAAUAGAUCAUUGUUAGUACGGACCGAACGAGUGGGAGAAAGUGGAGAGUAAAUUUGAGUGAAGGAAAUGGAUGAGGGAGAGAUAGACAGAUAGACAGACAGACAGGUAAGCAGGAUAGGAGGAUGAGUUUACAGGUUUAGACAGGGGAAAAAGAUUAUAAGGAGGUAGGGAGAAAAGGGAUGAGAGAGAGGGAGAGAUAGACAGAUAGACAGACAGACAGGUAAGCAAGAUAGGAGAAUGGAUUUACAGGUUUAGACAGGGGAAAAAGAUUAUAAGGAGGUAAGAAGAAAAGGGAUGAGAGGGGGAGAGAUAGACAGAUAGACAGACAGACAGGUAAGCAGGAUAGGAGGAUGAAUUUACAGCUUUAGACAGGAGAAAGAAAAGAUUAUAAGGAGGUCUGAGGUAGGUUGGGUAGGAAGAAAAUGGAUGAGAGAGGGGGAGAGAUAGACAGAUAGACAGACAGACAGGUAACCAGGAUAGGAGGAUGAAUUUACAGCUUUAGACAGGAGAAAGAAAAGGUCAUAAGGAGGUUGAGGUAGGUUGGUAGGGAGAAAAUGGAUGAGAGAGAGAUAAGACAGACAGACAGACAGACAGAUACUAAGAAGGAUAGGAGGAUGAGUUUACAGGUUCAGGCAGGGAGAAAGUAAAGAUUAGUAGGAGGUCCAAGGUAGGGUGGAAAGGUAUGCAGGUAGGUUAGGGACAGGUGUGGGGC